AUUAGACGAAUCAUCUGGAAAGAUGAAUCAAAGAAGGUAAUAAUCCUGUAGUCGAAAAUGUUGUCUCUCUUGAGUGGAUCCUGAGUACGACGGAGCACGUGAAAUUCCGUCGGAAUCUGGGAGGACCAUCUCCUAAGGCUAAAUACUCUCUAGUGACCGAUAGUGAACCAGUACCGUGAGGGAAAGGUGAAAAGCACCCCGGAAGGGGAGUGAAAUAGAACCUGAAACCGUGUGCUUACAAGUAGUCAGAGCCCGUUAAUGGGUGAUGGCGUGCCUUUUGUAGAAUGAACCGGCGAGUUACGAUUUGAUGCAAGGUUAAGCAGUAAAUGUGGAGCCGUAGCGAAAGCGAGUCUGAAUAGGGCGUUUAGUAUUUGGUCGUAGACCCGAAACCAGGUGAUCUACCCUUGGUCAGGUUGAAGUUCAGGUAACACUGAAUGGAGGACCGAACCGACUUACGUUGAAAAGUGAGCGGAUGAACUGAGGGUAGCGGAGAAAUUCCAAUCGAACCUGGAGAUAGCUGGUUCUCUCCGAAAUAGCUUUAGGGCUAGCCUCAAGUGAUGAUUAUUGGAGGUAGAGCACUGUUUGGACGAGGGGCCCCUCUCGGGUUACCGAAUUCAGACAAACUCCGAAUGCCAAUUAAUUUAACUUGGGAGUCAGAACAUGGGUGAUAAGGUCCGUGUUCGAAAGGGAAACAGCCCAGACCACCAGCUAAG
rnacentral:rRNA from 1 species